UACGUAGGGCGCAAGCGUUGUUCGGAAUUACUGGGCGUAAAGGCUCGUAGGUGGCCAACUAAGUCAGACGUGAAAUCCCUCGGCUUAACCGGGGAACUGCGUCUGAUACUGGAUGGCUUGAGUUUGGGAGAGGGACGCGGAAUUCCAGGUGUAGCGGUGAAAUGCGUAGAUAUCUGGAGGAACACCGGUGGCGAAGGCGGCGUCCUGGACCAACACUGACACUGAUGAGCGAAAGCCAGGGGAGCAAACGGG
rnacentral:rRNA from 1 species